rnacentral:rRNA from 1 species
ACAACGAAGAGUUUGAUCCUGGCUCAGGAUGAACGCUAGCGACAGGCUUAACACAUGCAAGUCGAGGGGCAGCACAGGUAGCAAUACCGGGUGGCGACCGGCGCACGGGUGAGUAACGCGUAUGCAACUUGCCUAUCAGAGGGGGAUAACCCGGCGAAAGUCGGACUAAUACCGCAUGAAGCAGGGAUCCCGCAUGGGAAUAUUUGCUAAAGAUUCAUCGCUGAUAGAUAGGCAUGCGUUCCAUUAGGCAGUUGGCGGGGUAACGGCCCACCAAACCGACGAUGGAUAGGGGUUCUGAGAGGAAGGUCCCCCACAUUGGUACUGAGACACGGACCAAACUCCUACGGGAGGCAGCAGUGAGGAAUAUUGGUCAAUGGCCGAGAGGCUGAACCAGCCAAGUCGCGUGAGGGAUGAAGGUUCUAUGGAUCGUAAACCUCUUUUAUAAGGGAAUAAAGUGCGGGACGUGUCCCGUUUUGUAUGUACCUUAUGAAUAAGGAUCGGCUAACUCCGUGCCAGCAGCCGCGGUAAUACGGAGGAUCCGAGCGUUAUCCGGAUUUAUUGGGUUUAAAGGGUGCGUAGGCGGCCUUUUAAGUCAGCGGUGAAAGUCUGUGGCUCAACCAUAGAAUUGCCGUUGAAACUGGGGGGCUUGAGUAUGUUUGAGGCAGGCGGAAUGCGUGGUGUAGCGGUGAAAUGCAUAGAUAUCACGCAGAACCCCGAUUGCGAAGGCAGCCUGCCAAGCCAUUACUGACGCUGAUGCACGAAAGCGUGGGGAUCAAACAGGAUUAGAUACCCUGGUAGUCCACGCAGUAAACGAUGAUCACUAGCUGUUUGCGAUACACUGUAAGCGGCACAGCGAAAGCGUUAAGUGAUCCACCUGGGGAGUACGCCGGCAACGGUGAAACUCAAAGGAAUUGACGGGGGCCCGCACAAGCGGAGGAACAUGUGGUUUAAUUCGAUGAUACGCGAGGAACCUUACCCGGGUUUGAACGCAUUCGGACCGAGGUGGAAACACCUUUUCUAGCAAUAGCCGUUUGCGAGGUGCUGCAUGGUUGUCGUCAGCUCGUGCCGUGAGGUGUCGGCUUAAGUGCCAUAACGAGCGCAACCCUUGCCACUAGUUACUAACAGGUUAGGCUGAGGACUCUGGUGGGACUGCCAGCGUAAGCUGCGAGGAAGGCGGGGAUGACGUCAAAUCAGCACGGCCCUUACAUCCGGGGCGACACACGUGUUACAAUGGCGUGGACAAAGGGAGGCCACCUGGCGACAGGGAGCGAAUCCCCAAACCACGUCUCAGUUCGGAUCGGAGUCUGCAACCCGACUCCGUGAAGCUGGAUUCGCUAGUAAUCGCGCAUCAGCCAUGGCGCGGUGAAUACGUUCCCGGGCCUUGUACACACCGCCCGUCAAGCCAUGGGAGCCGGGGGUACCUGAAGUCCGUAACCGAAAGGAUCGGCCUAGGGUAAAACUGGUGACUGGGGCUAAGUCGUAACAAGGUAGCCGUACCGGAAGGUGCGGCUGGAACACCUCCUUUCU